CGUAGAAAAUGGUGAAAUUACCUUAUGUGUGCUAUAAGAACAAAAUAUUGAUAACUAUGUGUGACGUUUCUAAGGGGGGGGGUCUCCAGAGAAACGAACAUAUGACGAUUCUCAUGGACAAAAUCGAUAUGUGAGGCUUCCCUUAUAGUGGUAUCACAGAUAUUCAAUGGCUUAUUUUUUGUCCUGACCCGUGCAAGAACUUUUAAAAAAGCUAGGGUCGGGUGCGCGAUAGCCAACAGCAAAAUAUUCGCGAAAACAUUCAAUAUUUUCAUUCGAGGCCGCUAUCUUUAUCAGUGAUACCACUAUAACCACAAUGGAAAGCGCUACGAAAACGUAAUAAGGGGAAUCUAGAAUUGCAAAAUAUUAUUUGAGAUUUCGAGCUCUUAAAUAUCAAGUUUUAAAACUAUUUUACUAACCUUUUUCAGU